CGACACACACACUUACAUGCAUUUACACGAAGGUACACAAUUAUACGGUUCACACACACCAGCUUAACUAUUUCGUACUCAGCACUGGCCACUGACGUUUUAGCGGAGAAUUGGUUCUCUGACUCCCACCAUCAUUGUCACCGACUUCACUUGUAGUAUCGUAUUCAAUUCGUACGUAACGUAAACCCAUCUUGCCCGCCGUGUGCGCAACGCAACAACUAUACAGCAGCUGCCGAUCGACUGUCACCACCGUUGCCGUUGCUACUGCUGUUUUUGCUGCUGCUGCUGCUGCUGCUGCAUUCUGUCGUGCUUCGUCUGUGUGUGGUGAGUGUAUGACGUGGUGGCCCUUGUUGUCUUGAACACGCACGACAAUAUUGUAAAUAACAACGAAAACAACAAAACUUGAUCCACAUCACAGUGUAGACGAGAAAUGCGAGAUUUUGACCACAAACGGGGCAGACAAUUGGUUGACUGUACCACUGAAGAAGACACCGUUGCCGAGGAGACAGCCGCAAAAGAAAAAAUGCCGUCUGAUACCGAAAGUAACACAAGUUUUAACAAUAGCAGCGUAAGGACUUUUAAGAUUUUUAUUGGAAAUCUUUCUGAAAAGACUACAUCUAACGAUAUUAGACCUCUGUUUGAGAAGUAUGGCAAAGUUGUUGAAUGUGAUGUAAUGAAAAAUUUUGGCUUUGUUCAUAUGGAUGAUGAGAACACUGGCCGUGCAGCUAUAAAAGCUUUGAAUGGUACAAUGGUUAAUGAUUUAGCCAUGAAAGUUGAAGCUGCCACUAGUCGUCGUGGUCCUAAUACCCCAACUACAAAAAUCUUUGUUGGAAAUCUUUCUGAAACAACAAAAGCCAAUGAAGUACGAGAGUUAUUUGGUAGAUACGGUACUGUGGUUGAAUGUGACAUUGUCAGAACUUAUGGUUUUGUGCACAUUGAUUCAACUGAUGUAAGCAGACUUAUUAAAGAUUUAAAUGGACAUAUGUUGGAUGGUCAACCAAUCAAAGUCCAAAUUUCAAAUAGCCGUGUUCGUCAAAGACCUGGAAUGGGUAUGCCAGAGCAGUGUUAUAGGUGCGGCAAGGGUGGCCAUUGGUCUCGGGAGUGCAGUCGUGAAGGGUAUGGAUAUGGAAGAGAUGCUUUACCACCACUUCCACCACCUCGUGCCUUACUUUAUCCACCACCACCUCCGCCUUCAUUUGUUCGUGAUCGCAUUCUUGGUUCUUAUGGUACUGGUUUAAAAACUGAUAUGACAAGAAUGGAUGAUUAUUCAAUGUUGUCACAUUCUGAACUUGGUGGUCAUAUGUAUGAAACUGAAGGCCUGUAUGACCGUUAUUAUGACCGUAGUCUAAUGAGAACAGCCGCUGAUGGUUAUGGUAUGGAUAGAAGAAUGCCAAGAAUGCCAUCUAGUCGUGAUUAUUUAUCAUCAUCUACACGUAUUGGAACAACUAUGCGUGACCAAGAUUAUGUAUUUACACGCCGCUCACCAUUGUCUAGCAGUCGUACAUCUUCAUCUCAUGCAUAUGAUGAUUUCUCUAGAGAUUCUUAUGAUGAUCGUCGAAUAUUAUUAACAUGUGGCUGAAUAUGGUCAAUGUGGAUAACACUAACCACUGAUCAUACUACAAAAUCAUGCAUUUUUAUUAUGAAUCAUUAUGAAUGUCAUCUUCUGAUGCAUUUUUAUUGAUAAUGAUAAUCAUUGAAACUGAAUAUUGAAUCAUUUGAUGGAUGCAUAGAUCUACACCAUUCUUCUUGUGGCUGCCUUUCAAUCAAAAAUUAAGCGUCACAUGUUACAAUUUUGUUUCGUAAUAUGCCACAAAUAUUUAUUGUAUUUGAGUUUGGUAUUUUAUGUAUGGAGUACCAAUGUUACAACUGAUAAAGCCCUAAAACUAAUGAGCUUUAGACAUAUUCUUAUCUAUAAGAAUAUUGUAAGUUGAUUUUAUGCUCUGAAAUGUGUGUUUGAUUUUCAACAAUUCAUAUGUUUAUCAAUCAUUUUAAUUGUUAUUUAAAAAUUAUAAUAUAAUCUUUUUACAAUAAACUAUAAUUGUACUUAAGGAGAGCUGAAUAAAUUGUUUCAUAAUUUUUUAUUUUUGAAAUAAAUAUAAAUAGUUUAA